GUGCUUGGGUUUCCAGAAGCUUAGCACCAAAAUAGAUGCUUGAUGAGCACCUAGAAUUGAGCCAGGAGUUUUGAUCAAUUCUACUUCAUCUAAUCAGUUAUCAGUGUUGCUGUUUGUCUUGGACCUGCAGUUUUCUGUGAAAGAAAGCCUGGUUUAGUCAAGAUAAGUGACCAAAACCAUACUAUAUUGCCAGCAUUCUUGAGGUUGACUGCAAAGUAAUUCUCCGAAGAGGUGGAAGAGCACGACGCUGCUGUGCAAGGGUGUCUGGCUGCUGCCCUGCUGGAGAUCCAUGAGCAACAACAUCACG